CCAGUUUAUUUCUGUAUUAGCACUUUUACUAUUCUGUUGUUUCUGUAUUUGAAUAUUAACAGCAAGACGGAACUAAUUAUUGGUUCCACCCGGAGGUUUCCGGCCGGGCGCUUUUGAGCGACGCACUGAGAAAAACUUUACGGCGAAAGAGACUGAUUAUUCCGCUGUUGUAGUGUUUAAGUGGAUAAAUUUACAAGAAAAUAGACAGAAGAUGAUAUGGGAGAUCUGAAAGGAUGUUUAGCACCUCUUUGUGAUAAGCAGCAAUGAGGCCACUGAUGAAGAACAGGUGGUGACUGGGAUGAAUGCUGGUCAGAGAGGAGAAUCUUCUUUCCCCUAAACUGAUGCAGCGGUGGUUUUAAAGGAGGACGCUGCCCUGGAUGAUGUAGAAGAUGUCACAUAUGCUGAUGGGGUUUCUUCAUGAUUACAUCAAUUAUGCUAAAGAGAUCAUGAAAAUUGACCGUUAUGCAUGAUCUGUAUUCAUGGACUAUGAAACAAACUGUAAGUGUAUAAUUUGUAAAAAAAAAAAAAAAGUUAAAUGCUUUUUCUGUGUUGUUUAGUAGAAGAGUUUACACUCUGUCAUUCAUACACCUGCUCACAUUCUUUCACUCAGACACACACGCGCGUCUGUUAAAUGUUAUAAUAUCAAAGUUAAUGUUGUGAUUUAUUUGUGUACUGUCAUGCCAGAAUAGUUGGAAAAAAACCUAACUAAUUGUAAAUUUAUUGUGUUUUCGUAUAUUUUUAUACAAUAUGUCCAAUUUGAUCUUAAGUUAUAUUCAUCAAAUGUUCAAUGCUUUAUGAACUCUGUAGCUGUUAAUGCCAUCCUUUUCUGCAUUUCUUCUAACAUGUUACUUUUUGACUUUUCUCUUGUUUUAAAUAAAUAUUUUCCUUUUGAUAA